UGGGAUUGGUUAAAUAAACAGAAUGUUGUCAUCUCUGUCUGGGAUUGGUUAAAUAAACAGAAUGUUGCAUCUCUGUCUGGGAUUGGUUAGGUAAACAGAAUGUUGUCAUCUCUGUCUGGGAUUGGUUAGGUAAACAGAAUGUUGUCAUCUCUUUCUGGGAUUGGUUAAAUAAACAUAAUGUUGACAUCUCUGUCUGGGAUUGGUUAAAUAAACAGAAUGUUGCAUCUCUGUCUGGGAUUGGUUAAAUAAACAUAAUGUUGUCAUCUCUGUCUGGGAUUGGUUAAAUAAACAUAAUGUUGUCAUCUCUGUCUGGGAUUGGUUAAAUAAACAUAAUGUUGACAUCUCUUUCUGGGAUUGGUUAAAUAAACAGAAUGUUGUCAUCUCUGUCUGGGAUUGGUUAAAUAAACAGAAUGUUGUCAUCUCUGUCUGGGAUUGGUUAGGUAAACAGAAUGUUGACAUCUCUGUCUGGGAUUGGUUAGGUAAACAGAAUGUUGACAUCUCUUUCUGGGAUUGGUUAAAUAAACAGAAUGUUGUCAUCUCUGUCUGGGAUUGGUUAAAUAAACAGAAUGUUGUCAUCUCUGUCUGGGAUUGGUUAAAUAAACAGAAUGUUGUCAUCUCUGUCUGGGAUUGGUUAGGUAAACAGAAUGUUGACAUCUCUGUCUGGGAUUGGUUAGGUAAACAGAAUGUUGUCAUCUCUGUCUGGGAUUGGUUAGGUAAACAGAAUGUUGACAUCUCUGUCUGGGAUUGGUUAGGUAAACAGAAUGUUGACAUCUCUGUCUGGGAUUGGUUAGGUAAACAGAAUGUUGUCAUCUCUGUCUGGGAUUGGUUAAAUAAACAGAAUGUUGUCAUCUCUGUCUGAUUGGUUAAAUAAACAGAAUGUUGUCAUCUCUGUCUGGGAUUGGUUAGGUAAACAGAAUGUUGACAUCUCUGUCUGGGAUUGGUUAGGUAAACAGAAUGUUGUCAUCUCUGUCUGGGAUUGGUUAGGUAAACAGAAUGUUGUCAUCUCUGUCUGGGAUUGGUUAGGUAAACAGAAUGUUGUCAUCUCUGUCUGGGAUUGGUUAGGUAAACAGAAUGUUGACAUCUCUGUCUGGGAUUGGUUAGGUAAACAGAAUGUUGUCAUCUCUGUCUGGGAUUGGUUAGGUAAACAGAAUGUUGUCAUCUCUGUCUGGGAUUGGUUAGGUAAACAGAAUGUUGACAUCUCUGUCUGGGAUUGGUUAAAUAAACAGAAUGUUGUCAUCUCUGUCUGGGAUUGGUUAGGUAAACAGAAUGUUGUCA